UACAGAGGGGGCUAGCGUUGUUCGGAAUUACUGGGCGUAAAGGGCGCGUAGGCGGCCCUCUAAGUCGAACGUGAAAUCCCCGGGCUCAACCCGGGAACUGCGUCCGAUACUGGAGGGCUCGAAUCCGGGAGAGGGAUGUGGAAUUCCAGGUGUAGCGGUGAAAUGCGCAGAUAUCAGGAGGAACACCGGUGGCGAAGGCGGGUCUCUGGGCCGAUACUGACGCUGAGGAGCGAAAGCGUGGGGAGCGAACAGG
rnacentral:rRNA from 1 species